rnacentral:rRNA from 1 species
CCUACGGGAGGCAGCAGUGAGGAAUAUUGGUCAAUGGGCGGGAGCCUGAACCAGCCAAGCCGCGUGAAGGAAGAAGGCGCCAGGCGUCGUAAACUUCUUUUGUCGGGGAACAAAGGGUGCCACGCGUGGCGUUGUGAGUGUACCCGAAGAAAAAGCAUCGGCUAACUCCGUGCCAGCAGCCGCGGUAAUACGGAGGAUGCGAUCGUUAUCCGGAUUUAUUGGGUUUAAAGGGGGCGUAGGCGGUCCGGAAAGUCAGCGGUAAAAGCCCGGGGCUCAACCACGGCUAGCCGUUGAAACGGUCGGACUAGAGAGGGCGAGAAGUACGCGGAAUGCGGGGUGUAGCGGUGAAAUGCAGAGAUAGCGCGAAGAACUCCGAUUGCGAAGGCAGAGUACCGGCGCCGGACUGACGCUGAGGCACGAAAGCGUGGGUAUCGAACAGGAUUAGAUACCCUGGUAGUC